AUUUCAGCAGGAUUCACUCUGUAAUACAUGCUGUUAACCGAUUUGGUGUUGAAAAAUCAAGAGAGGGCCCCGAUCACACUGUGUUUCUUUGUACUUCAGUAUGAUGCCUUAAUUUAGCAUUACGCACCUUCCAAGAUUGCUGAGGGUUGGGCAGACUUAAAAGGUGCAGUGGCAUGGCUCUUAUCACCUACCAUCACCCAAAGGGAAUGCCCCCCCAAAAGAAACAGCUAAUGACUGCCCAAGAGUAGAGCACUUCUGCAGCUCAUUGCCC